rnacentral:rRNA from 1 species
UACUAGAGUAGCACUCGCAUAUCAAUAAGCGGAGGAAAAGAAACUAACAAGGAUUCCCCUAGUAACGGCGAGUGAAGCGGGAAGAGCUCAAAUUUGAAAUCUUAAAGGGUUUCCCUUUACGAAUUGUAGUUUAAAGAAGUGUUUUCUGUUGAGGUUUUGGUAAAAGUUCUUUGGAAUAGGACAUCAUAGAGGGUGAGAAUCCCGUAUUUGACCUUUACUUUCAACUUUGUGAUACACUUUCAAAGAGUCGGAUUGUUUGGGAAUGCAGUCCAAAAUGGGUGGUAAAUUUCAUCUAAAGCUAAAUAUUGGCGAGAGACCGAUAGCGAACAAGUACCGUGAGGGAAAGAUGAAAAGAACUUUGAAAAGAGAGUUAAACAGUACGUGAAAUUGUCAAAAGGGAAGCGUUUGACACCAGUGUUGUUUUUCUGAAAAUCAAUUAAAGAACUGUUUAUGCUAAGCUGUUUAGACUUUAUCAGCUAUACUGUUUAGUUUUGAGCUUUUCUUUAAUGCACUUUUCAGUUAACAAGUCAACAUCAAUUUCUUUUGCUGUAAAAAAGCUUGAGGAAGGUGGCUUGAGAUUCGUCUUAAGUGUUUAUAGCCUCUUGCCUAUGCAGUCGGAGAGAUUGAGGUCUGCAGCGUAGAUCCUUCGGGGCUAAAUGCAUUUGUGCUAAGUUAUAGCAUUUUAUAGACAACUUGUUGACUAUGAUUUGUCUUGUAGCUUACUCGCUUAUGUUAUUUUACCUACGCUUAGGAUGUUGAGCGCAUGUCUCUCUCU